AGAGUUUGAUCAUGGCUCAGAAUCAACGCUGGCGGCGUGCCUAACACAUGCAAGUCGAGCGCGAAAGUGGGCUUCGGCCCACGAGUAGAGCGGCGAACGGGUGAGUAACGCGUGGGUGAUCUGCCUUCGAGUGGGGAAUAACACCGGGAAACUGGUGCUAAUACCGCAUAACAUCCUCGGUUCGUUCCGAGGAUCAAAGCUGGGGACCGUAAGGCCUGGCGCUUGAAGAGGAGCCCGCGUCCGAUUAGCUUGUUGGCGGGGUAAUGGCCCACCAAGGCUUCUAUCGGUAGCCGGCCUGAGAGGGCGGACGGCCACACUGGGACUGAGACACGGCCCAGACUCCUACGGGAGGCAGCAGUGGGGAAUUUUCCGCAAUGGGGGAAACCCUGACGGAGCAACGCCGCGUGGAGGAUGAAGGCCCUCGGGUCGUAAACUCCUGUCGAUCGGGAAGAAUGCGUCCGACCUAAUACGUCGGCACGUUGACUGUACCGGUGGAGGAAGCCACGGCUAACUCUGUGCCAGCAGCCGCGGUAAGACAGAGGUGGCAAGCGUUGUUCGGAAUUACUGGGCGUAAAGCGCGCGCAGGCGGUUCGUCAAGUCCCGUGUGAAAUCCCCCGGCUCAACUGGGGAACUGCGCGGGAAACUAGCGGGCUUGAGUUCGGGAGAGGGAAGCGGAAUUCCGGGUGUAGCGGUGAAAUGCGCAGAUAUCCGGAGGAACACCAGUGGCGAAGGCGGCUUCCUGGACCGAUACUGACGCUGAGGCGCGAAAGCUAG
rnacentral:rRNA from 1 species